GACGAACGCUGGCGGCGUGCUUAACACAUGCAAGUCGAACGGUGAACCUCUUCGGAGGGGAUCAGUGGCGAACGGGUGAGUAACACGUGGGCAACCUGCCCCCGGCUCUGGGAUAACUCCAAGAAAUUGGGGCUAAUACCGGAUGUUCACCGCUUCCCGCAUGGGUGGUGGUGGAAAGGGUUUCCGGCUGGGGAUGGGCCCGCGGCCUAUCAGCUUGUUGGUGGGGUAGUGGCCUACCAAGGCGACGACGGGUAGCCGGCCUGGGAGGGGGACCGGCCACACGGGGACUGAGACACGGCCCAGACUCCUACGGGAGGCAGCAGGGGAGAAUAUUGCGCAAUGGGCGGAAGCCUGACGCAGCGACGCCGCGUGGGGGAUGACGGCCUUCGGGUUGUAAACCUCUUUCAGCAGGGACGAAGCGCAAGUGACGGUACCUGCAGAAGAAGCACCGGCCAACUACGUG
rnacentral:rRNA from 1 species